UACGAAGGGGGCUAGCGUUGCUCGGAAUCACUGGGCGUAAAGGGCGCGUAGGCGGCCAUUCAAGUCAGGGGUGAAAGCCUGUGGCUCAACCACAGAAUUGCCUUUGAUACUGUUUGGCUAGAGACCGGAAGAGGUAAGUGGAACUGCGAGUGUAGCGGUGAAAUGCGUAGAUAUUGGGAGGAACACCAGUGGCGAAGGCGGCUACCUGGACCGGUACUGACGCUGAUGCGCGAAAGCGUGGGUAGCAAACAGG
rnacentral:rRNA from 1 species